rnacentral:rRNA from 1 species
AACGAACGCUGGCGGCAUGCCUAACACAUGCAAGUCGAACGAUGCCUUCGGGCAUAGUGGCGCACGGGUGCGUAACGCGUGGGAAUCUGCCUUUCGGUUCGGAAUAACUCAGGGAAACUUGAGCUAAUACCGGAUAACGUCGCAAGACCAAAGAUUUAUCACCGAAAGAUGAGCCCGCGUAGGAUUAGCUAGUUGGUGAGGUAAAGGCUCACCAAGGCGACGAUCCUUAGCUGGUCUGAGAGGAUGAUCAGCCACACUGGGACUGGGACACGGCCCAGACUCCUACGGGAGGCAGCAGUGGGGAAUAUUGGACAAUGGGCGAAAGCCUGAUCCAGCAAUGCCGCGUGAGUGAUGAAGGCCUUAGGGUUGUAAAGCUCUUUUACCCGGGAAGAUAAUGACGGUACCGGGAGAAUAAGCCCCGGCUAACUCCGUG